UACGGAGGGGGCUAGCGUUGUUCGGAAUUACUGGGCGUAAAGCGCACGUAGGCGGCUUUGUAAGUUAGAGGUGAAAGCCCAGGCUUAACCCUGGAAUCGCCUUUAAGACUGCAUCGCUAGAAUCGUGGAGAGGUGAGUGGAAUUCCGAGUGUAGAGGUGAAAUUCGUAGAUAUUCGGAAGAACACCAGUGGCGAAGGCGACUCACUGGACACGUAUUGACGCUGAGGUGCGAAAGCGUGGGGAGCAAACAGG
rnacentral:rRNA from 1 species